rnacentral:rRNA from 1 species
UACGUAGGGUGCGAGCGUUGUCCGGAAUUAUUGGGCGUAAAGGGCUCGUAGGCGGUUUGUCGCGUCGGGAGUGAAAACCUCGGGCUUAACUCGGGGCUUGCUUUCGAUACGGGCAGACUGGAGGUAUGCAGGGGAGAACGGAAGUUCCUGGUGUAGCGGUGAAAUGCGCAGAUAUCAGGAGGAACACCGGUGGCGAAGGCGGUUCUCUGGGCAUGACCUGACGCUGAGGAGCGAAAGUGUGGGGAGCGAACAGG